GGCGUAGGCGGUGCUCUAAGUCUGUUGUGAAAUCUCCCGGCUCAACCGGGAGGGUGCGGCGGAAACUGGAGUGCUCGAGUGUGGGAGAGGUAAGCGGAAUUCCUGGUGUAGCGGUGAAAUGCGUAGAUAUCAGGAGGAACACCUGUGGUGUAGACAGCUUACUGGACCAUGACUGACGCUGAGGCACGAAAGCGUGGGUAGCAAACA
rnacentral:rRNA from 1 species